UCCAGACUCCUACGGGAGGCAGCAGUGGGGAAUAUUGCACAAUGGGGGAAACCCUGAUGCAGCGACGCCGCGUGAGCGAUGAAGUAUUUCGGUAUGUAAAGCUCUAUCAGCAGGGAAGAAAAUGACGGUACCUGACUAAGAAGCCCCGGCUAACUACGUGCCAGCAGCCGCGGUAAUACGUAGGGGGCAAGCGUUAUCCGGAUUUACUGGGUGGAAAGGGAGCGUAGACGGCAAUGCAAGCCAGAUGUGAAAGCCCGGGGCUCAACCCCGGGACUGCAUUUGGAACUGUGUAGCUGGAGUGCCGGAGAGGUAGGCGGAAUUCCUAGUGUAGCGGUGAAAUGCGUAGAUAUUAGGAGGAACACCAGUGGCGAAGGCGGCCUACUGGACGGUGACUGACGCUGAGGCUCGAGAGCGUGGGGAGCAAACAGGAUUAGAUACCCCCGUAACU
rnacentral:rRNA from 1 species